AACAACCCCGCCAAAUUAAAGAAUCAAUCUUUCUUGAUCGGCAACAACAUUAAUCAAUCAACAAAAACUCUAGAAAUUGGGAAGAAAAGCAAAAGGAACUAAAACCCCAAUAAAAUCUUUAACCGAACCCUUGUGAUUAAAUCGUAUGUUUCGUGGAUUGCAAGUAAAAAAAAAAGGAAAAAUUCAAAACUGUGUAGUCAACUCUACAAAACACGUGGUUCUUGGAGGAAAAGAAAACCCAAAAAAAAACCCGAACGGGAGAAUUAUAAAUGUAGAGAGAGAAAGAGAGAGAGAGAGAGAGAGAG
rnacentral:lncRNA from 1 species